ACCGGCAGCCAUAUCAACUGCAACUCACAACAGGCAGCUCACUGAAGCUCAGCAGGUGUGAGCCUGAUCAGUACCUGGAGUGGAGACUCCUUGGAAAAACUAAGGUUGCUGCUGGAA
rnacentral:rRNA from 1 species